rnacentral:rRNA from 1 species
UACGUAGGGGGCAAGCGUUGUCCGGAAUUAUUGGGCGUAAAGAGCGUGUAGGCGGUCCGGUAAGUCGGCUGUGAAGGUCCAGGGCUCAACCCUGGGAUGCCGGUCGAUACUGCCGGACUAGAGUUCGGAAGAGGCGAGUGGAAUUCCCGGUGUAGCGGUGGAAUGCGCAGAUAUCAGGAGGAACACCAACGGCGAAGGCAGCUCGCUGGGACGGUACUGACACUGAGGCGCGAAAGCGUGGGGAGCGAACAGG